rfam:Nomascus leucogenys chromosome 5, whole genome shotgun sequence.
AAUUGAGUGCCCAAAGUGUGAGAGGGCUCCUGAAGCUGUGAGCUUGGUGGAAGAGGACAACCAUCCCUGACGGAGGAGAACCGGUCUUCAGUCAAGGGUAUACGAGUAAAUGUGCUGCCCUGCUAGAACCUCCAAACAAACUCUCAAGGUCCAAAGUGUGAGAGGGUGGCCGGGCGUGGUGGCUCAUGCCUGUAAUCCCAGCACUAUGGGAGGCCGAGGUGGGUAGAUCACUUGAG